AACAUAGAAGUAAAAUUUACAAUUAGCUUCGACCUAAAUUUUAGGAUUAUACUCCUCGUGUUU
rnacentral:tRNA from 1 species